CUUUUACAAUGAAGAGUUUGAUCCUGGCUCAGGAUGAACGCUAGCUACAGGCUUAACACAUGCAAGUCGAGGGGCAGCAUGGGAGUAGCAAUACUUCCGAUGGCGACCGGCGCACGGGUGAGUAACACGUAUCCAACCUGCCGUUUACUCCCGGAUAGCCUUCUGAAAAGAAGAUUAAUACGGGAUGGCAUAGCGAAAAGACAUCUUUUUGCUAUUAAAGAAUUUCGGUAAACGAUGGGGAUGCGUUCCAUUAGAUAGUAGGCGGGGUAACGGCCCACCUAGUCAACGAUGGAUAGGGGUUCUGAGAGGAAGGUCCCCCACAUUGGAACUGAGACACGGUCCAAACUCCUACGGGAGGCAGCAGUGAGGAAUAUUGGUCAAUGGGCGAGAGCCUGAACCAGCCAAGUAGCGUGAAGGAUGACUGCCCUAUGGGUUGUAAACUUCUUUUAUACGGGAAUAACAUCACCUACGUGUAGGUGCCUGUAUGUACCGUACGAAUAAGGAUCGGCUAACUCCGUGCCAGCAGCCGCGGUAAUACGGAGGAUCCGAGCGUUAUCCGGAUUUAUUGGGUUUAAAGGGUGCGUAGGCGGACUGUUAAGUCAGCUGUGAAAGUUUGCGGCUCAACCGUAAAAUUGCAGUUGAAACUGCCAGUCUUGAGUGUACAUGAGGUAGGCGGAAUUCGUGGUGUAGCGGUGAAAUGCUUAGAUAUCACGAAGAACUCCGAUUGCGUAGGCAGCUUACUAGGGUACAACUGACGCUGAGGCACGAAAGUGUGGGUAUCAAACAGGAUUAGAUACCCUGGUAGUCCACACAGUAAACGAUGAAUACUCGCUGUUGGCGAUAUACAGCCAGCGGCCUAGCGAAAGCAUUAAGUAUUCCACCUGGGGAGUACGCCGGCAACGGUGAAACUCAAAGGAAUUGACGGGGGCCCGCACAAGCGGAGGAACAUGUGGUUUAAUUCGAUGAUACGCGAGGAACCUUACCCGGGCUUGAAUUGCAUCUGAAUAAUCUGGAAACAGAUUAGCUAGCAAUAGCAGAUGUGAAGGUGCUGCAUGGUUGUCGUCAGCUCGUGCCGUGAGGUGUCGGCUUAAGUGCCAUAACGAGCGCAACCCUUGUGAUUAGUUACUAACAGGUGAUGCUGAGGACUCUAAUCAGACUGCCAUCGUAAGAUGUGAGGAAGGUGGGGAUGACGUCAAAUCAGCACGGCCCUUACGUCCGGGGCUACACACGUGUUACAAUGGGGGGUACAGAAAGCUGCUACCGGGCGACCGGAUGCUAAUCUCCAAAACCUCUCUCAGUUCGGACUGGAGUCUGCAACCCGACUCCACGAAGCUGGAUUCGCUAGUAAUCGCGCAUCAGCCACGGCGCGGUGAAUACGUUCCCGGGCCUUGUACACACCGCCCGUCAAGCCAUGAAAGCCGGGGGUACCUGAAGUGCGUAACCGCAAGGAGCGCCCUAGGGUAAAACUGGUGAUUGGGGCUAAGUCGUAACAAGGUAGCCGUACCGGAAGGUGCGGCUGGAACACCUCCUUU
rnacentral:rRNA from 1 species